rnacentral:rRNA from 1 species
CGGUGGAGUGAUGUGGUUUAAUUCGAUAGCAACGCGAAAACCUUAACCCACCUUGACAUGUACGGAAUCUUAGAGAUAGAGGAGUGCUCGAAGAGAGCCGUAACACAGGUGGCUGCAUGGCUGUCGUCAGCUCGUGUCGUGAGAUGUUGGGUUAAGUCCCGCAACGAGCGCAACCCUUGUCAUUAGUUGCUACGAAAGGGCACUCUAAUGAGACUGCCGGUGACAAACCGGAGGAAGGUGGGGAUGACGUCAAGUCCUCAUGGCCCUUAUAGGUGGGGCUACACGCGUCAUACAAUGGCUGGUACAAAGGGUUGCCAACCCGCGAGGGGGAGCCAAUCCCAUAAAGCCAGUCGUAGUCCGGAUCGCAGUCUGCAACUCGACUGCGUGAAGUCGGAAUCGCUAGUAAUCGUGGAUCAGCAUGUCACGGUGAAUACGUUCCCGGGUCUU